UGUACUAAGAGUUUGAUCGUGGCUCAGGGUGAACGCUGGCGGUGUGCCUAAGACAUGCAAGUCGAACGAUCUUUCGUUCUUCACUUUAUUCAGAAUUCCAGAUUCGCAAGACGGAACUGAGUUUUAUGGAUAGAGUGAAGGACGCUGGAUAGUGGCGAACGGGUGAGUAUAAGACAGGAACAUACUUCGAAGCGGGGCAUAGCCCACCGAAAGGUGGGGUAAUUUCCCAUAUGUCCCGAUUUAUCGGGAUGAAAGACGCAAGUCACUUCGAAAAUGGCCUAUCUACUACCAGCUAGUUGGUAAGGUAACGGCUUACCAAGGCUUUGACGGUUACCGGCUCUUAGCGGAGAGUCCGGCACAAUGGGACUGAGACACGGCCCAUACACCUACGGGUGGCAGCAGUUAGGAAUUUUGCGCAAUGGACGAAAGUCUGACGCAGCGACACCGCGUGGAGGAUGAAGACCUUAGGGUUGUAAACUCCUUUUUAGCGGCCAUGAAGGCCACUAGAAUAAGUAGCUACUAACUACGUGCCAGCAGUCGCGGUAAUACGUAGGCUACGAGCGUUACCCGGAUUUAUUGGGCGUAAAGGGUCUGUAGACGGUUUUCCAAGUCUGGUUUCAAAGCCCCCGACUCAAUCGGGGAAAGGGGUCAGAUACUGGGAUACUAGAGUCAUAUCGGGGUUACUGGAAUUUUUGGUGUAGGGGUUAAAUCCGUGGAUACCAAAAAGAACACCAAGCGCGAAGGCGGGUAACUAGGUAUGUACUGACGUUCAGAGACGAAAGCUAGGGUAGCAAAUCAGAUUAGAGACCUGAGUAGUCCUAGCUGUAAACAUUGUCCGUUAGUUCUUCUCAAUUUAUUGGGAGGGAUGUUAGCUAACGCGUUAAACGGAUCGCCUGGGGAGUAUAGCCGCAAGGCCGAAACUUAAACGAAUUGGCGGGGAGGCGCACAACCAGUGGAGCAUGUGGUUCAAUUCGAUACAAAGCGAUGAACCUUACCUGGGCUUGAAAUGCACCUGCAGGCUCCUGAAAGGGAGAGUCCUUCGAGGGUGGUGCACAGCUGUUGCAUGGCUGUCGUCAGCUCGUGACGUGAGUUGUUCUCUUAAGUGAGGUAACGAGCGCAACCCCCAUUCUGUGUUAUCGUGUCACAGAAGACUGCCUAGCAUUAUUUUGUUAGGAGGAAGGAGGGGACGACGUCAAGUCAUCAUGAUGCUUAUGUCCAGGGCUACACACAUCCUACAAUGGGCUAUAACAGAGGGUUGCAAGACCGCAAGGUGGAGCUAAUCCCUAAACUAGCCCUCAGUUGGGAUUGCAGGCUGAAACUCGCCUGCAUGAACCCGGAAUUGGUAGUAAUCGCACAUCAGCAGCGUGCGGUGAAUACGUUCUCGCCUCUUGCACACACUGCCCGUCAAAUCAGCAAAGUUGGGGGUACCCAAAGGCUCUGGCUUGCCAGGGACUAAGGUAAAUCCAGCGAUGAGGGUUAAGUCGUAACAAGGUAUCCGUACUGGAAGGUGCGGAUGGAUCACCUCCUUU
rnacentral:rRNA from 1 species